rnacentral:rRNA from 1 species
AACGUAGGAGACAAACGUUAUCCGGAGUUACUGGGCGUAAAGGGCGUGUAGGUGGUUGCGUAAGUCUGGCGUGAAAUUUUUCGGCUUAACCGGGAAAGGUCGUCGGAUACUGCGUAGCUAGAGGACGGUAGAGGCGUGUGGAAUUCCGGGUGUAGUGGUGAAAUGCGUAGAGAUCGGGAAGAACAUCAGUGGCGAAGGCGGUCUGCUGGGCCGUUGCUGACGCUGAGGCGCGACAGCGUGGGGAGCAAACAGG